GAUGAACGCUAGCUACAGGCUUAACACAUGCAAGUCGAGGGGCAGCGCAGUGUAGCAAUACAUGGGCGGCGACCGGCGCACGGGUGCGUAACGCGUAUCCAACCUUCCCGAUACUCUUGGAUAGCCUUCCGAAAGGGAGAUUAAUACAAGAUGGUGUUUCACUUUCGCAUGUUAUUGAAACUAAAGAUUUAUCGGUAUCGGAUGGGGAUGCGUGACAUUAGAUAGUAGGCGGGGUAACGGCCCACCUAGUCUACGAUGUCUAGGGGUUCUGAGAGGAAGGUCCCCCCACACUGGAACUGAGACACGGUCCAGACUCCUACGGGAGCAGCAGUGAGGAAUAUUGGUCAAAUGGUCGGAAGACUGAACCAGCCAAGUAGCGUGAAGGAUGAAAGGUUCUAUGGAUUGUAAACUUCUUUUAUACGGGAUAAAACCUCCCAGUGUGGGAGCUUGUAUGUACCGUAUGAAUAAGCAUCGGCUAACUCCGUGCCAGCAGCCGC
rnacentral:rRNA from 1 species